UAUUGCUCUUGAACGAGGAAUCCCUAGUAAGUACAAGUCACUAGCUUGUGCUGAUUACGUCCCUGCCCUUUGUACACACCGCCCGUCGCUACUACCGAUUGAAUGGCUUAGUGAGGCCUUCGGAUUGAAAUUCGGAGACUGGCAACAGACUCUUGGUUUUGAAAAGUUGGACAAACUUGGUCAUUUAGAGGAAGUAAAAGUCGUAACAAGGUUUCCGUAGGUGAACCUGCGGAAGGAUCAUUACCGAUCUCUUGGCUCUCGCAUCGAUGAAGAACGUAGCGAAGUGCGAUAAGUAAUGUGAAUUGCAGAAUUCCGUGAAUCAUCGAAUCUUUGAACGCAAAUUGCACUCUCUGGUAACCCGGGGAGUAUGCCUGUUUGAGGGUCAGUGUUAAUAAAAAUCGGUGCGUUGCAAUUUUUGUGAUGUUCCGGAGUUUGAGUUAUCUUAUCUUCUGGGUUUAAGAGGCUUAAAAUUGACCUUCUUUGUGCAUUUUAGACGUACAUAAAUUUUUUUUAUUCGUUUAUCUUAAUGCCAAAAUCUAUUAGAUGCGACCAUAUCGUGUGGUUCCGUGUCUAUAAAUUUUUCAUGAUUUGACCUCAAAUCAGGUAGGAACACCCGCUGAACUUAAGCAUAUCAAUAAGCGGAGGAAAAGAAAAUAACAAUGAUUCCCCUAGUAACUGCGAGUGAAGAGGGACAAGCUCAAAUUUUAAAUCUAUCGGGUUUUACCUGAUCGAGUUGUAAUUUGAAGAAGCGUUUUCUGCGUAUUUGGUCAGCCUAGUCCUAUUGAAUGAGGCAUCAUGGAGGUGAUAUCCCGUCCGGUUGAUCAUUGCGUUUACGAUACGCUUUCUAGAGUCAAGUGUUGGAUUGCAGCUUAAAAUGGGAGGUAAUUCUCCUUAGCUAAAUACCGGCGAGAGACGAUAGCGAACAGUACCGUGGGUAAAGAUGAAAGAACUUUGAAAAGAGAGUAACAGUACGUGCAAUUGUUGAAGUAACGAUUGAAGCCAGUCGUACCUCGUAUCCGGCUUUCGGGUGCAAUCCCGUGUUAAGUCGUAGAGAACCUAAACACCUUCAUGUUUUGCAUAUUCGUACUCUUGGGUGUACUUGCCCGUGUGGUUGGUUAACAUCAAUUUUGGUGGUCAUAAAAUGACUGGGGGAAUGUAGCUUCGAUCUUGUAUUGAAGUGUUAUAGCCUUCGGUAGAUGUGAUGAUCGAGAUUGAGGAUUGCAACGGAUACCCUUCGGGGCUACCUGUCUGGUCUCUGAUCGUUGCUCUGGUGCCGAAAGCUUGCUUACGGUUAUCAAAGUCGAUGGUCAAUAGGUUAGAACGGGUUAAAUUCGUUAAGGAUGUUGACGUAAUGGCUUUAAACGACCCGUCUUGAAACACGGACCAAGGAGUCUAACAUAUAUGCGAGUGUUC
rnacentral:rRNA from 1 species